AUGAUAUUUUCCUGCUAAUCACUGUUGAAAGUGCUUCAGGACAUUAACUCUCCAAGAAUUUAGAAAAACAAUUGGAGAGAAUCGAGGUCUGUUGGUAGAGAAAAUGACAAGUAUGUUACAACAGUCAAGGGAGAGCAAGAUUACAGCUUCAACUAAGAAAGAAGAAUGAAGUUAGAAAGAGAUGGAGACAUUUUUAAGAAUAACAUCCUAGAAAAUGGGGUCAAGUCUGGCUUGUUCAGCAUUGUAACCAACAAACGGAGGCACUCAAUAUCUGUUGACUGACUGGCAUGGACUAGAAGAGAAACCUGGGAUUUGUCCUAUAUGACUCUAUGACAACAAGACCUAACCAAGAGUUAAUGAAGAAGCAGCAAAGGUGAUUUGAUAUCUGAGAUGGUAUAUCCAUGGCUUCUGACUACGAUCAUCCCUCAAAUCCAGUUUUGUAUAAAUAAACCGGGUUCUGGUAAAUAAUUAAUCUCUGGA
rnacentral:lncRNA from 13 species